rnacentral:lncRNA from 1 species
UGGAGCCCUUCACAAGGAUAUAUCCGUAUUAACCAAACUCUGAAUUUAGCUUGUAGAAUAGAUGGCUGUGAUUGAACAUGCUAAAGCAACCGUCAGAUCAUUGGAGGAUCAGCUUGCUUCGAUAUUGCACGAUAUGACUAUUGCAAUCGGCGAUGUGUCAACUCAGGUGAUAGAUCUUGACUUUGACGAAUAUCGAAGCUUAAUCAAGAGGC